UGGGGAAUUUUGCGCAAUGGGCGAAAGCCUGACGCAGCAACGCCGCGUGGGUGAUGAAGGACUUCGGUCUGUAAAACCCUGUCGUCAGGGACGAAGGUGGCGGGACGAACAAUCCCGUUACUUGACGGUACCUGGAGAGGAAGCCCCGGCUAACUCUGUGCCAGCAGCCGCGGUAAUACAGAGGGGGCAAGCGUUAUUCGGAAUUAUUGGGCGUAAAGGGCGCGUAGGCGGUUUCUUAAGUCGGAUGUGCAAUCCCCGGGCUCAACCUGGGAACUGCAUCCGAGACUGGGAGGCUAGAGUGCUGGAGAGGGUGGUAGAAUUCCACGUGUAGCGGUGAAAUGCGUAGAGAUGUGGAGGAAUACCAGUGGCGAAGGCGGCCACCUGGACAGUAACUGACGCU
rnacentral:rRNA from 1 species